AGUGAACGCUGGCGGUAGGCCUAACACAUGCAAGUCGAACGGCAGCACAGUAAGAGCUUGCUCUUACGGGUGGCGAGUGGCGGACGGGUGAGGAAUACAUCGGAAUCUACUUUUUCGUGGGGGAUAACGUAGGGAAACUUACGCUAAUACCGCAUACGACCUACGGGUGAAAGCAGGGGAUCUUCGGACCUUGCGCGAUUGAAUGAGCCGAUGUCGGAUUAGCUAGUUGGCGGGGUAAAGGCCCACCAAGGCGACGAUCCGUAGCUGGUCUGAGAGGAUGAUCAGCCACACUGGAGCUGAGACACGGUCCAGACUCCUACGGGAGGCAGCAGUGGGGAAUAUUGGACAAUGGGCGCAAGCCUGAUCCAGCCAUACCGCGUGGGUGAAGAAGGCCUUCGGGUUGUAAAGCCCUUUUGUUGGGAAAGAAAAGUAGCAGGUUAAUACCCCGCUGUUCUGACGGUACCCAAAGAAUAAGCACCGGCUAACUUCGUG
rnacentral:rRNA from 1 species